rnacentral:rRNA from 1 species
CGCGUAGGCGGCCUUCUAAGUCGAACGUGAAAUCCCUGGGCUCAACCCAGGAACUGCGUCCGAUACUGGAAGGCUUGAAUCCGGGAGAGGGAUGCGGAAUUCCAGGUGUAGCGGUGAAAUGCGUAGAUAUCUGGAGGAACACCGGUGGCGAAGGCGGCAUCCUGGACCGGUAUUGACGCUGAGGCGCGAAAGCCAGGGGAGGCAAACG